rnacentral:rRNA from 1 species
GGUUAAGCGACUAAGCGUACACGGUGGAUGCCCUGGCAGUCAGAGGCGAUGAAGGACGUGCUAAUCUGCGAAAAGCGUCGGUAAGGUGAUAUGAACCGUUACAGCCGGCGAUGUCCGAAUGGGGAAACCCAGUGCAAUUCGUUGCACUAUCGUUUGAUGAAUACAUAGUCAAACGAGGCGAACCGGGGGAACUGAAACAUCUAAGUACCCCGAGGAAAAGAAAUCAACCGAGAUUCCCCCAGUAGCGGCGAGCGAACGGGGAGCAGCCCGGAGUCUGAAUCAGCUUGUGUGUUAGUGGAAGCGUCUGGAAAGUCGCAGGGUACAGGGUGAUACUCCCGUACACUAAAACACACAGGCUGUGAACUCGAAGAGUAGGGCGGGACACGUGGUAUCCUGUCUGAAUAUGGGGGGACCAUCCUCCAAGGCUAAAUACUCCUGACUGACCGAUAGUGAACCAGUACCGUGAGGGAAAGGCGAAAAGAACCCCGGCGAGGGGAGUGAAAAAGAACCUGAAACCGUGUACGUACAAGCAGUAGGAGCCCACUUGUUGGGUGACUGCGUACCUUUUGUAUAAUGGGUCAGCGACUUAUAUUCUGUAGCAAGGUUAACCGUAUAGGGGAGCCGCAGGGAAACCGAGUCUUAACUGGGCGUUAAGUUGCAGGGUAUAGACCCGAAACCCGGUGAUCUAGCCAUGGGCAGGUUGAAGGUUGGGUAACACUAACUGGAGGACCGAACCGACUAAUGUUGAAAAAUUAGCGGAUGACUUGUGGCUGGGGGUGAAAGGCCAAUCAAACCGGGAGAUAGCUGGUUCUCCCCGAAAGCUAUUUAGGUAGCGCCUCGUGAACUCAUCUUCGGGGGUAGAGCACUGUUUCGGCUAGGGGGUCAUCCCGACUUACCAACCCGAUGCAAACUACGAAUACCGAAGAAUGUUAUCACGGGAGACACACGGCGGGUGCUAACGUCCGUCGUGAAGAGGGAAACAACCCAGACCGCCAGCUAAGGUCCCAAAGUCAUGGUUAAGUGGGAAACGAUGUGGGAAGGCCCAGACAGCCAGGAUGUUGGCUUAGAAGCAGCCAUCAUUUAAAGAAAGCGUAAUAGCUCACUGGUCGAGUCGGCCUGCGCGGAAGAUGUAACGGGGCUAAACCAUGCACCGAAGCUGCGGCAGCGACGCUUAGGCGUUGUUGGGUAGGGGAGCGUUCUGUAAGCCGUUGAAGGUGGCCUGUGAGGGUUGCUGGAGGUAUCAGAAGUGCGAAUGCUGACAUAAGUAACGAUAAUGCGGGUGAAAAACCCGCACGCCGGAAGACCAAGGGUUCCUGUCCAACGUUAAUCGGGGCAGGGUGAGUCGACCCCUAAGGCGAGGCCGAAAGGCGUAGUCGAUGGGAAACAGGUUAAUAUUCCUGUACUUGGUGUUACUGCGAAGGGGGGACGGAGAAGGCUAUGUUGGCCGGGCGACGGUUGUCCCGGUUUAAGCGUGUAGGUGUGUGUUCCAGGUAAAUCCGGUUCACUUUAACACUGAGGCGUGAUGACGAGGCACUACGGUGCUGAAGUGACAAAUGCCCUGCUUCCAGGAAAAGCCUCUAAGCAUCAGGUAACAUCAAAUCGUACCCCAAACCGACACAGGUGGUCAGGUAGAGAAUACCAAGGCGCUUGAGAGAACUCGGGUGAAGGAACUAGGCAAAAUGGUGCCGUAACUUCGGGAGAAGGCACGCUGAUAUGUAGGUGAAGUGGUUUACCCAUGGAGCUGAAAUCAGUCGAAGAUACCAGCUGGCUGCAACUGUUUAUUAAAAACACAGCACUGUGCAAACACGAAAGUGGACGUAUACGGUGUGACGCCUGCCCGGUGCCGGAAGGUUAAUUGAUGGGGUUAUCCGUAAGGAGAAGCUCUUGAUCGAAGCCCCGGUAAACGGCGGCCGUAACUAUAACGGUCCUAAGGUAGCGAAAUUCCUUGUCGGGUAAGUUCCGACCUGCACGAAUGGCGUAAUGAUGGCCAGGCUGUCUCCACCCGAGACUCAGUGAAAUUGAACUCGCUGUGAAGAUGCAGUGUACCCGCGGCAAGACGGAAAGACCCCGUGAACCUUUACUAUAGCUUGACACUGAACACUGGUCCUUGAUGUGUAGGAUAGGUGGGAGGCUUUGAAGCGUGGACGCCAGUCUGCGUGGAGCCAUCCUUGAAAUACCACCCUUUAAUGGCUGGUGUUCUAACGUGGGCCCGUAAUCCGGGUUGCGGACAGUGUCUGGUGGGUAGUUUGACUGGGGCGGUCUCCUCCUAAAGAGUAACGGAGGAGCACGAAGGUCAGCUAAUCCUGGUCGGACAUCAGGAGGUUAGUGCAAUGGCAUAAGCUGGCUUGACUGCGAGCGUGACGGCGCGAGCAGGUGCGAAAGCAGGUCAUAGUGAUCCGGUGGUUCUGAAUGGAAGGGCCAUCGCUCAACGGAUAAAAGGUACUCCGGGGAUAACAGGCUGAUACCGCCCAAGAGUUCAUAUCGACGGCGGUGUUUGGCACCUCGAUGUCGGCUCAUCACAUCCUGGGGCUGAAGUAGGUCCCAAGGGUAUGGCUGUUCGCCAUUUAAAGUGGUACGCGAGCUGGGUUUAGAACGUCGUGAGACAGUUCGGUCCCUAUCUGCCGUGGGCGCUGGAGAAUUGAGGGGGGCUGCUCCUAGUACGAGAGGACCGGAGUGGACGCAUCACUGGUGUUCGGGUUGUCAUGCCAAUGGCAUUGCCCGGUAGCUAAAUGCGGAAGAGAUAAGUGCUGAAAGCAUCUAAGUACGAAACUUGCCCCGAGAUGAGUUCUCCCUGACUCCUUGAGAGUCCUGAAGGAACGUUGAAGACGACGACGUUGAUAGGCCGGGUGUGUAAGCGCAGCGAUGCGUUGAGCUAACCGGUACUAAUGAACCGUGAGGCUUAACCUU